GACGAACGCUGGCGGCGUGCCUAAUACAUGCAAGUAGAACGCUGAAGGAGGAGCUUGCUCUUCUGGAUGAGUUGCGAACGGGUGAGUAACGCGUAGGUAACCUGCCUGGUAGCGGGGGAUAACUAUUGGAAACGAUAGCUAAUACCGCAUAACAGUAGAUGUUGCAUGACAUUUACUUAAAAGGUGCAAUUGCAUCACUACCAGAUGGACCUGCGUUGUAUUAGCUAGUUGGUGGGGUAACGGCUCACCAAGGCGACGAUACAUAGCCGACCUGAGAGGGUGAUCGGCCACACUGGGACUGAGACACGGCACAGACUCCUACGGGAGGCAGCAGUAGGGAAUCUUCGGCAAUGGACGGAAGUCUGACCGAGCAACGCCGCGUGAGUGAAGAAGGUUUUCGGAUCGUAAAGCUCUGUUGUAAGAGAAGAACGAGUGUGAGAGUGGAAAGUUCACACUGUGACGGUAUCUUACCAGAAAGGGACGGCUAACUACGUG
rnacentral:rRNA from 1 species